UACAGAGGUCUCAAGCGUUGUUCGGAUUCAUUGGGCGUAAAGGGUGCGUAGGCGGCGCGGUAAGUCGGGUGUGAAAUCUCGGAGCUUAACUCCGAAACUGCAUUCGAUACUGCCGUGCUUGAGGACUGGAGAGGAGACUGGAAUUUACGGUGUAGCGGUGAAAUGCGUAGAUAUCGUAAGGAAGACCAGUGGCGAAGGCGGGUCUCUGGACAGUUCCUGACGCUGUAAAACGAAAGCCAGGGGAGCAAACGGG
rnacentral:rRNA from 1 species